ACGGCUCAGUAACACGUGGAUAACCUGCCCUUGGGUCCGGCAUAACCCCGGGAAACUGGGGAUAAUUCCGGAUAACGCAUAUAUGCUGGAAUGCUUUAUGCGUAAAAUGGAUUCGUCUGCCCAAGGAUGGGUCUGCGGCCUAUCAGGUAGUAGUGGGUGUAAUGUACCUACUAGCCAACAACGGGUACGGGUUGUGAGAGCAAGAGCCCGGAGAUGGAUUCUGAGACAUGAAUCCAGGCCCUACGGGGCGCAGCAGGCGCGAAAACUUUACAAUGCGGGAAACCGUGAUAAGGGGACACCGAGUGCCAGCAUCAUAUGCUGGCUGUCCGGGUGUGUAAAAUACACCUGUUAGCAAGGGCCGGGCAAGACCGGUGCCAGCCGCCGCGGUAACACCGGCGGCCCGAGUGGUGAUCGUGAUUAUUGGGUCUAAAGGGUCCGUAGCCGGUUUGGUCAGUCCUCCGGGAAAUCUGACGGCUCAACCGUUAGGCUUUCGGGGGAUACUGCCAGGCUUGGAACCGGGAGAGGUAAGAGGUACCACAGGGGUAGGAGUGAAAUCUUGUAAUCCCUGUGAGACCACCUGUGGCGAAGGCGUCUUACCAGAACGGGUUCGACGGUGAGGGACGAAAGCUGGGGGCACGAACCGGAUUAGAUACCCGGGUAGUCCCAGCCGUAAACGAUGCUCGCUAGGUGUCAGGCAUGGCGCGACCGUGUCUGGUGCCGCAGGGAAGCCGUGAAGCGAGCCACCUGGGAAGUACGGCCGCAAGGCUGAAACUUAAAGGAAUUGGCGGGGGAGCAC
rnacentral:rRNA from 1 species